GCAGACAAACAGGGAGAAUGUGCAAACACCACACAGACAGUGGAGUCGAACCAGAGUCCAUUUAUUGACCAGCGCAUUCCAUUAAAGGGAUCUGCACUGGAACCCUUCUGUUUGCGGGACAAAUAUAUAUAAGUGACAUGGAUUAAAAUCUAAUUUGAUUUGAUGGAGAUGUGUUGAAAAUGUUUGCAGUUACUGAUCUGCUGAACCAAAAUGACUCCUUUUAAACUGAUGAUUGGACUAGAAACCUUUGAGAAAACUUGAAAAUAUUCGGUAAGGUCAACACAUCCAUGAACUAAGCAAUGAUUCCUCAUCCAACACUCACAGGAACUAUCUGAUGCCUUCUCAUUUGAAUGUUCACAGAAAUCAUUGGAUUAAUAUUCGGCAUGACAAAUGAAGAUACAUCUAAUUGUUUUAGACUCCAAUAAUUAAUGUUCAUUUCUACAUGUUACAGAUAGCAAUAUGAAGUUUCUAAUUAUUUUAAGUUCGCAGUGACCUGUUUUGAGACAAAUUUUUCCUUAUAUCUAAUAUUUAAUCAUUGUUGAAAUCCAGUAUAUUUGGCUUUAAGUGUGGAAUUAAGUCUCAGUGACGUAGGCAUAUUGCACGGUAUUGUUCCCUAAUGGUAGCGAAUGCAGAUUUGUAUUUUAAUACUGAAAUCCUGGUUGAUUCGCUGUUGUAGGGGUGCCCCGCCCCAUCUGGAAUAGAAUGGCCUAUGUUGGCUCAUACAAAAUGUCUGACAAACAAAAAGACGCAACCUGCCCUAGAAUUAAAACACAAGAUGGCGGAGGAGAGAUAAACUAACAGUCUGUUCCAAUCUUGAUGAAAGAAAAUAAUAUUUUGUAAAAUCCCACUCCAACUCCAUCAGUAUGCCAGUCCAGACAGUAAUAUUCCAGACAGUAAUAAGAACAUGCCAGAUACAGAAAACGACCAACCCUGACCUUCAUUAACGAAAGAAUAAUUGUCCCAGUGAAUGAAUAAACACCAGCUGCAGGAUACAGCCCAGUUAAAUGUCACAGCAGCUAUCAGGGCAACUCACAGGGUUCAUUUGUCAAAAACAGUUACUAUUUUAAA